rnacentral:tRNA from 1 species
GCGGUCGUAGCUCAGUGGAUAGAGUACGGGUCUUCGGAACCCGUGGUCGCGGGUUCGAAUCCUGCCGACCGCGCCA